AACCAUCCUAUGCUAAAGGUGUCCUUUCUAAAAGCCUUGCAACAGUUAAAUGAGUUAGUUCAUUUGUAUUUCUCUUGGAUACAGGGGAACACAGUAUUUAAACUGGGAAGACUAAAGGAUCUCUGGCAUUAUGAACAGAUUGGAGUUUCUGUUGACAGAUCUAAUUGUCAGAAAGGUUUUCCCCUUUUGCAAUAUGUUGGACCAAGAAAGAAAGAAAGGAAAUAAGAGAGCGCACAGGCAGGCAGAGUGGAAGGCAGAGGCAGAGGGAGAAGCAGGCUCCCUCCCAAGCAAGGAGCCAGAUGUGGGACUCCAUCCCAGAUCUCUGGGAUCAUGACUUGAGCAGAACACAGCCACUUGACCGACUGAGCCCCCCAGGCAUUCCGGAACUGUAGUUUUUAAAUGUAAAACCAGCAAGGGUCCCAGAAGGAGGAUGAUCCUGAGAAAUUUUAACAGAUUGGGACACCAUUACUCAAAAACCAGAGGUUCAGGAAGCAGAAGAGUAUUCACCAGGAAGGACAAUGCUUUCAUAAAAACGACAUCAAAAAACCAGAUCCUGAGUAAAGUCAGCCAAAAGUCGCCCUAAAGGAGGGAACUCAGAUCUGAAAGGAGACUCACUGAACCAAAUGGAAAGAGAUGACUCACAGAAGCAGAGAAAGAGAGCGCACAGGAGCUUAGUUGUCACUACAGUCUGAAGAAGACGGUUGUCCAAGCUCAAACCAACACAUCCACAUGUAAGGCAGCAAGACUGGAGAAAGAUGCAACUAUCCCCAGGAAUCACCCAGACACAGAGUGACAUUUUAAAGGAGAAACCACUGGAUGCCAUAGUCUUUUUAAAAAUAAUAUUAGAGGAAGAGCUCAAAGGAAUGUCUGCCCAAGCACCAGUAUCUAUAGCCUCGUAUUCAAGAAGAAUCCAGCCACUUGAAGAAGCAGCGAGCCAGUACUGCUCACUUCAGCUCCUGUCCUCUUGGAUCUACUUUGUUGUGCUCAGCAUCAGAUUCGAAACUGGUGACAUCCUGUCAGUGGCACAGCUCUUCUUACCUGUUAUGUUGUUAAAUCUGUGCUAAAUUUGUGAUGUUGCUGCUCUUUCAUAUUCAUGCUUCAUCCGCCCAGAUCAAGAGUUUCUUGAGCUCAGGGGUCACACUUUAUACUCCAUUCAGUCUUGCCUAGUUGUGUUUGUCUUGGUAAACACAGGAAAUAGCUGUUGGACAGAUGAAUGAGAGAAUGACAAAGGCUGGGAAACAGUAGAAGGUGAACUGCUCUGCUACCUGGUAAAGAGGAUUAUGAAACUCUUCAGAUUAGCAGGAAAGGUGGUGUUUCAUUUGUGUCCGCAGAUAGGGAUCUUAGCCCCAGGGUUGCCGGCUUGCUUUCACUCAUUCAACAAACAUUUCUCUAAGUUUCUCCAGAAGAGCCAGGCAAGCAUUGCGGUGGCAGGCCCCCAAUAAGACAAAGUGCCUGUGGGGGUGAGGGAGACAUGCGGCAUCACAGACUCAGGGAGAUACAAUGGGGUUGGCAAUAUGAUAAUGGCAUGCACAUGGCACAUGGAGAUUCUAAAUCAGAUUGUGGCUUCCAGAGAAGCUUCUGGAAAGAGAAGCAUUUUUAUUCAUGUGUUCAAGGAUGAAUGAGUGUUGGCUAGAGGAGACUGAUUAGGAAAAGCAUUACAGGGAGAAGAACUAGCAUGGGAAUGUGUUCUGUGCCAUAAAAUAGAAGGUUACAUUGAGAACUAAAGUCUCAGCUGAAAUGGUAGCUGUGCCUAGAGGUGAAGUCAGAGAGCUAGGCUAGAAUAGCCUUGCAGAGGACCUUGUGGCAAUAUGAUUUAGUAUUUCAGAGUGAAGGUUUAGAAAUCAGACAGAACUGAGUUCAAAUCCUUGCUCUGGUACUUACAAUCCAUGUAACUAACUGAUUUGUUUUUUUUUAAUUCCUCGAAGUCUUGGUUUCCUUAGCACAGUGUCUAGCUGUAUCACUUUUCUAUUGUUACAUAAGAAAUUAUCCCAAAUCAUAACAGCUUAAAAUAGUACACAUUUAUUAAGUUCUCACAGGUCCAGAAUCUGGUCUUCGGCUUCAGGGUCUCCCACGAGGCUGUAAUGAAGUAUCAGCCAGAGAUGAGGUAUUAUCUCAAGAUGUGAGAAGGAUCCAUUUCCAAGCUCACUUACAUGAUUGUUGGGGGAAUUCAACAAUGGAUGGCCAUUGGCCAGAGGCUGCCCUCAGUUCCUUGACAUGUGGGCCUCCCCAGCAUAUCAGCUUGCAUCAUCAGUCAGUGACAGAGGGCCUGUGACCAAGACAGAUGUAGCCUAAUCAGCUAAGUGACUUCUUGUCACCAUUGCCACAUUCUGUAGAGUAAAAGUCAUUGGGCCAUCCCACACUCCAGGGAAUGAACACCAUAAAAUGGGGAUCUUUGGGAGUCAUUUUAAGCCAGUAGCCUAUAGCUGGUAGCCUAUGUUAGUAGCUGAUAGCUUAUAUUACCACCAAAUAAAUGUCAGCUUUUUAAAAUUAAACUCAGUUGAUAGUUUUGGAAAACCUAGUGAAAGCUGGUGAAGGAGUUUAUAACAAAGAGUAACUUUAGGUGACCUUGGCUAGGUCAAAUCAUUUCACAUCAUGUCUUCGAGCCUUUCUUUCCUCCUAAGUAUGGUGAAAAUAUCUAUCUCUCAUAGAAAUGAGAACAUAUAUGUGCAAGCAGAAAUACACUUUGGUAAAAACAAGCAUACAACUCUUCACAGUGGGAGGAAGCUUACUGCCUUGGGCCAGCUUUCCACUUUGCACUGAUACUGGGACUCUCACAGUUUGAUAUCUUCAGAGUUUUCAGGGCUUGACCUGUGGGCCCAGAAGGAUUUGUAUAACUGGAAUAAACACCCACAAAAAGAAAUUUGUCUUUUGAACAUCGCUUAAGGCAUUUCCAAGAGUUUGCUUUUUUCCAUCUUUUUAAAUACCUUUGCUUCCAAGGACCCCAUGGGGGCUAGAGAGAGAAAACAGACUAUCUGGGAAAUUUCAAGCUCUUGAUAAUAAAAGUGGUAAUAAAAUCUCGUCUGGCUC